rnacentral:sRNA from 1 species
UGCCCAACACUUAUUUUUAAGUAGUGGCAAUAAAAUUCCCAACCACGAUAGUAAGCUCCUCAUUGAGCACUCGUGGUUGGGUCAAUAGCAGGAAUGUUAUUGGGCAAUCGCAAGGUUGCC